rnacentral:tRNA from 1 species
AAUAAAGUGCCUGAAAAAAAGGUCUAUUUUGAUAGAAUAGCUUAUGCAUAAAUGCCUUUAUUA